rnacentral:lncRNA from 1 species
GUUUUUGUUGUGCACCUGUUUCUUGUUUGGGUUGAUUAGUGUGGGUAUUUAUUUUAUUUCUACCCACUUUGUGUCGUGCGGGUUUAAUUUCGUUUCCCUGUUGUGUUUGGGAAACGUUGUUUUUGUUCAUAAUUUUUUCGUUCAGGUUAUGUCAUUGGGAUUUCGUUCUUUUGAUCAUUGUUGGACUAUGUAUUUUUAGUCCGGUACCUGUAUGGUUUUUUGAUGGACGUUAUUAAACUCUGGUUAUUGGAGUUAUCUUCUCUCCUGCGCCUGACUCCUACACCCAUCUCUCGUAGAGAGACAUUACAACCCUAUCCUCCUAAACAGGAUGGCCGUGUGCACAGUGGCGGCCAGAGGGGAGAAGCUCUCCACCAUGUUGAAGGCCCCUUCCUCUCAAAUCCCUUUCUCCCGGGCUGCUGCUUUUGACUCUGUGCGGUCGAUCCUUGGGAGAAUCAGUCAGUCCUUCUCCACGCACUGCCUUUUUUAAUGAGCUCUGUCUGUGCCUUUGUGGCGGACGAGGUGCAGCCUGCUGCAGCCACCCUACCAGUCCCCCCUGUCCUCGCGGUGGACGUCUCCGCCACACUACCAGCUGACAUCCAAGCAGGUGAGUAGCACUGAUAGAGACCCGGCUUCUUCCCACCUGGAGGUUGUGGACAUUCCCCCUAAAACAGAGGCAUACCCAGCUUCUUCCCACUUGGAGGUUGUGGACAUUGCCCCUAACAUAGAGGCAGAACCCGUCUCUUCCUACCUGGAGGUUGUGGUAAUCCCCCCCCCUAACACAGAGGCAGACAUGGCUUGUUCGCACCUAAAGGUUGUGGACAUUGCCCCUAACACAGAGGCAGACCCGGCUUUUUCCUACCUGGAGGUUGUGGACAUCACCCCUAACACAGAGGCAGAGCCCAUCUCUUCCCUCUUGGAGGUUGUGGACGUCACACCUGAAGAAAAGACUCUCACGAUGGCUGUCUUCGCCACUCUGCCAGCUGACAUCCAAGCAGGAUGUGAUCCUGGAUUUUCCAUGCAGAGCGAGGAAAGGGGCAGUCCGGCUAUUUUUUAUUUUUAUUUUUUGCAGGCUUUGGAGGGCAGUGUGCUGCUGCUCCUGCCACAAGGAAGAGGAGGAUCAAUAUUAAUUAUUCAUCAGACUUUCAGAAGUGGAAAGUCCAUAGACCAUUCAAUUAUUUGCAUUAUAAAUGGCUUCAAUUCUGCUUUUCUUCUGUUUACUACUUAAUUCAUUUCAGAAAAUGUCUAUAAACUUUUACUUUGCAAGUGUGGAG